AACGAACGCUGGCGGCAUGCCUAACACAUGCAAGUCGAACGAGACCUUCGGGUCUAGUGGCGCACGGGUGCGUAACGCGUGGGAACCUGCCCUUAGGUUCGGAAUAACUCCCCGAAAGGGGUGCUAAUACCGGAUAAUGUCUUCGGACCAAAGAUUUAUCGCCUUUGGAUGGGCCCGCGUUGGAUUAGCUAGUUGGUAGGGUAAAAGCCUACCAAGGCGACGAUCCAUAGCUGGUCUGAGAGGAUGAUCAGCCACACUGGGACUGAGACACGGCCCAGACCCCGAGGGGAGGGGGGAGGGGGGAAUAUUGGAAAAGGGGGGAAGGCUUAACCAACCAGCGCCGGGGGAGUGAUGAGGGCUUUGGGGUUGAAAAGCUUUUUUCCCCGGGAUGAUAAUGACGGUACGGGGAAAAUAAGCUCCGGCUAACUCCGUG
rnacentral:rRNA from 1 species